GCCUGGGUGGCUCAGUCGGCUGAGCGUCCGACUUCAGCUCAGGUCAUGAUCGCGGUUUGUGGGUUAGAGCCCCGCGUCGGGCU
rnacentral:tRNA from 1 species